GGAAUGAGACAUAAAUUCCCCGCUGAAGAAACUUUUAUUUCUGUUGUUCUUUUGGGUUUAUUAAAUAUUUGGGGUUGGGGGUUUAUUAAAUAUUUGGGAUUUAUUAAAGCUUUGGGGUUUGGGGUUUAUUAAAGAUUUGGAGUUUGGGAUUUAAUAAAGAUUCGGUGUUGGGGUUUAUUAAAGAUUUGGAGUAUAGGGUUUAAUAAAGAUUUGGGGUUUGUUGAAGAUUUGGGGUUUAUUAAAGAUUUGGAUUUGGGGUUUGGGGUUUAUUAAAGAUUUGAAGUUUAGGGUUUAAUAAAGAUUCGGGGUUGGGGUUUAUUGAAGAUUUGGGGUUUGGGGUUUAUUAAAGAUUUGGAGUUUGGGGUUUAUUAAAGAUUUGGAGUUUGGGGUUUAUUAAAGAUUUGGAGUUUAGGGUUUAAUAAAGAUUUGGGGUUUGUUGAAGAUUUGGAGUUUGGGUUUUUAAAAUAAUUAAAGAUUGGUCCAGGGUUUGUAGGCAAUGGGUCGACAGUCUGAGAUGUAAAAGACUGUGUGUGCUACAUAAUUACGAAAUUACGGGCUAACUGGUACCAAAGAUGGUACUUGGCUCCGACUUUGGGAGCGCCCACAAUAUCCAGCACCAGCUUGUAGUAUAUAUGCACUAUAGGCAGCACCAGCUUGUAGUAUAUAUGCACUGUUCUUGAAAUCUCUUGACGUUUAACUUUGGUAGCAUCCUAACACCCUGAAAAAAUACAGAUAGGCAGUACGAGUAUGCAUUGACCUACUCAUCCAAAAUUGGUCAUAAAGCAGAA